rnacentral:rRNA from 1 species
GACGAACGCUGGCGGCGUGCCUAAUACAUGCAAGUUGAGCGAUGAAGCUUGGUGCUUGCACCAAUUUGAAGAGCAGCGAACGGGUGAGUAACGCGUGGGGAAUCUGCCUUUGAGCGGGGGACAACAUUUGGAAACGAAUGCUAAUACCGCAUAACAACUUUAAACAUAAGUUUUAAGUUUGAAAGAUGCAAUUGCAUCACUCAAAGAUGAUCCCGCGUUGUAUUAGCUAGUUGGUGAGGUAAAGGCUCACCAAGGCGAUGAUACAUAGCCGACCUGAGAGGGUGAUCGGCCACAUUGGGACGGAGACACGGCCCAAACUCCUACGGGAGGCAGCAGUAGGGAAUCUUCGGCAAGAGACGAAGGUCUGACCGAGCAACGCCGCGUGAGUGAAGAAGGUUUUCGGAUCGUAAAACUCUGUUGGUAGAGAAGAACGUUGGUGAGAGUGGAAAGCUCAUCAAGUGACGGUAACUACCCAGAAAGGGACGGCUAACUACGUG